rnacentral:lncRNA from 1 species
GAGGAACCAAAAAUUACCACCGAUCAAAAAAUUUUAUUCAUAACAAAAUUUACCGUUGAUCAAAAAAUGUUAUGGUUAACUUUUUGCAUUUUGCAUUUUGUUUUGGAUUAUUUUUAUAUAAUUAUUAGGAAAAUAUAUAAAAACUGAGAGAUAGUGUAGCGACCAUUUCACUGGCGGUGAGUUAACUUUAGACGGCGGUGACGAUCAACAGUUCGAGGCCUCUGGGAAUUUUCCGGGCGGGUUGUGUUCCCACACCUUGACAUGUCAGCUCCACCGCAACCUGAGUACCUGAGGUGGAGUUAUAUCCUUUAGCACCCACCACUCCGACCCCCAUCUCCUUCUGUUUCACCCUUCCAUGUCAUCAUCAUCGCCCUAUUCAUCAAGUUAUCUCUUAAAAUCACAUACACAGUCUCACUCUUCUGAGUUAUACGUGAAAAUCGCCGCCGUUGUGCUCAAUUGCUCCGUAUAAAUCGAUCAUCAGAUGAAUAGGAAAGAAGGAACGAGUUCGACAUCGCCUAUUAAUUGCUCAAUUGUCAAGGUUAUUCCUUUGAAACACCAUUGUCAUGCUCAACAUCUUAUUCGCAUUUGUAUCUUGUGAAUAUUUCUACUUUUCUUAAAAGUACUUCAAUAUGAGUACAUGUCUAUUUUACUGAUCACAUUAUCUCCACCUCCUUCUAAUUUACAUAGAACAAAACUAUCAUCGCUUUUCAAAUGCUUUUGGGCCAAAAUUUCUGAAAGGGGAUAAAAUUAGCUUCAACCCAAAAUAUUAUAUGAUUUGAAAUAAAAUUGACAUAAUCUUUGUUCUUUUUGUGUUAAAUACAAUUAUAUACUUACCUCAAUUUUCAGGGAAAGAAUACUAUUGAUCUAUGAAAAGGACAAGACAAGAUCAAAGUUUCCUUAUUUCAGUUUCAGAAGAAUAUUUAUCUGGUUUUCUUGAAAGGUAAUGAUCUCAAUUCACAUACACUGGUAGAUUACAAAAUGAAAACUAAAUAAAAUCAACACUCAAUGUAAUCAUGUUUUAUAAAUACCUUCUUUAAAACAUUUAUUCCACAUUAAGUCUAAUACAAAAUUAGACAUUCAUACCUUUGAUUUAUGAUGUUAAUCUAACAUAAUGAUGCUAGAUUCUUAUAGAACUUAUUGAGAAACAUACUUCCAUGAUUAAUAAUAGAUAUCCUAACUUGUUUCAUAAGAUCAUCAAAUCAAAUAUUUAUAAACAAACUAUUAACAAAAACCAUCUUGAGGAUCAAAUCUUUAACAUGUUAAAUACAAUUUACCGAAAAUUAACCAAUCAUUCAAUAAAAUAUUUCUACAACCAAUAAAAACACGCAAACGAAUGAAUAAAUUCUUAUUAUAUAUGUUUUAUUCACGAUACAUUUAUUGCAGAGUGUCAUGCACCUUCAGAUAUCAAACAACUUUAUUCAGAAAUACACAAACAAAUCACACCACCAUCUGUAUUACUUAUCUUCCACCUCAUUCAACCAAAUCCCCUUAUCUCAACCACUUACAGACAUCCCUUCAACAAUAAAAAACUCAAAUCCAUUAAAAAAAACAAGCGUGACACUCUAAUUUGAAACAGAUAUUCCCACAUACCCAACUCCUAUAACAAAGAAAGCACCCGAUUGAAGCAACAGAUAAACAAACAUAUGAUCUUUCCCAAACAUCAUAUCAUAAAUAGCCACAUACAAAAGAAACAACCCCAUUAUCAACUCCGAGAAGUGAAGCCUGUUUUUUUUAUCAUACCAAAAUAUUAGCAUAUAAUCAUAUAUAUAUAUAUAUAUAUAUAUAUAUAUAUAUAUAUAUAUAUACACACACACACACACACACACACACAAAGGGUAUAAUCGUAGUUUUACAAUACCUUUCUCCAAAUCGCGAACGUGACUUCUUCAAUGGCUUCACAAUACUUUUAGGCUUUGUUGCAUUUCCUAGUUUUUCAGUCACAACCCAUUCAUUGACUCGAUUAGCUCCCAAAAGUCCAAUGAUUGUUGCUUUGGAUCGAUGAAAUGACAUGACAUUUUCAAACAAGAUCCAGAACACAAGAAGGUGUAAUGACCUGUAAGGGCAAAAUGGUAAAUUGGUGAUCAAACUAAAGGGGUAAAAUGGUCAUUUUGUGAUAAUACCUUAGGGUGCAUGAGGAGUUUAAGAUUGUAACGGUUGCUGGAACGUAUAUGGCUAUGAGUUUUGGGAGAUGGACUUCAGGAACCAUGAUGCUGACUGGGAUGAUGACACAGUAAAAGAAAAAGGUGACCCAAUGUGCAAUUAUCUUCCUCACAAAAAAGAACGCAUAGAUGACAUGGAAUUUCUUCCAGAUGGAUACCCUCUGCAUAAAGUUUGAAUCUUUAUCUCAAAAUCUCAAGGGUAUUAAGGUAAUUAAAAAGGUUUCUUGAAAUUUACCUCGCAGAAGAUUAUUUCUUUUGUCAUUUUUCUAAAAAGAUUAGCUGGACCACAUGACCACCUAUGCUGUUGAAAUCUAUACGCUUUGAAAGUACUCGGGAGUUCGUUUUUCACCUAUAUGUAAUCAUCAUAACAAUUCAUGAAAAGGGUAAUAUUGGAAAUACUGAAAAUAUUGGAAAUGAUACGAUUUACUCACCUCUAAGUCACCCACAAAGACAAAUUUCCAACCUUUUAGACUUGCUCUAACAGCAAGAUCCAUGUCUUCUACUGUGGUUCGAUCUUUCCAGCCACCAGCAUCUGCAAUAGCUCUUAUACGCCACACACCCGCAGUUCCUAAUUUUAUAUAACAAAAAAAAUUAUAAAAACUAAAAAAUUAUUUUCCACCUGUCAAAUAAAAUAAAAUAAAUAAAUAAUAACUUACUUACCAUUGAAUCCAAAGAAUUGACAAGUUGAUGACCCUACUUCUUGUUCAACAGCAAAAUGGUAGGCGAGUGACAUCUCUUGGAGUCGAGUCAUUAAACAUUCAUCAGCAUUUACUACAAACAACUUAUUUAUUUUUAGUAAUAAUGCUAUAUUUUAGUCGCAAAAUGGUAAAUAUUCAAGAAAUGAGUGACCCUUUUACCGAAUUUCCAUCGAGCCUGAACCAAAGCCAAUUCUGGAUUCUCAAGAAGGUAAGGUACAGAUCUCCAUAAAAAGUCUUCAUCUGGUUGAAAAUCUGCAUCAAAUAUGACAACAAAUUCGCAAUCGAAUACAUAAUCUUUUUUUAAUCCUUCACGAAGAGCACCAGCUUUGUAUCCAUUUCUGUUGUUUCUUGUCUCAUAUUUCACAUUUACCCCCCUCUGAAUCCACUUUUUACACUCCAACUCCACCAGUGCCUGUAUACAACUAAUAAGUUUCUUUCUACUUUAUAUAUUAUAGCUAACUCAUCACUAUUUUGAAACUAGAUUAAAUUACAAAAACAGUCCCUGUACUUUCUCAUUUUUACCAUUCUUAGUCCAAAAUCGAAACCCUUUUCAUUUUUUUGUCCUUAUCUAAACUUUCAUAUCGAUUUCGGUCCGUGUAAAUUGAAAAAACGGUUCAAGUCUUAAACAAGGUGAAAAUCUGAAAGCACGAGGGUAUAUUUGUAAUUUAGUAUUGAACUAUAAGUGUAGUUGUAGGGGUACCCUUAGGACUUCAUUGGUUGAGUCAUCAAGAACCUGAACAAUAAGACGAUCAGCUGGCCAUCUAAGUGAGCAUACAGCUCCAAUUGACAGCUUGUAGACCUGUAAAGAAAAUAAAAAUGGCAACAUGUAAAAUUAAUUUAAUUUACACAUAAAUAUUGUGUACAAAAAACAUGUGUAGAAUACCUCUUUUUCAUUGAACAUAGGUAUUUGAACCAACACCAUGGGGUAGCUUCUAUUUUGUUCAAGAUCUUCUUUGAGUGCUUCUAGUUUAUACUGAGUGUACUUUUUCUUUCCCAAAAACUUCACCAAAAGAACAACAAUAGUCAUGUACACACGUUCAACGAACAUCAUCAAAGACAUGACAGCACAAACACAGAUGGCAGCGGUCAAUGGCGGCAUCACCAUUGACACGCGUAUAUGCCGCCAGACAUCGGUGAAACUGCCUGUGAAAUCAUAGGCUGAUAAGACAUCGGGCUCUGUGCGAAAAAUGUUUCUCAUGGUGAAACGGAAGGAAGAAAGGAGUUAGGACUUAGGAGAUGGGUGGGGAUAAGGGUAGUGAGGAAGAUUGAAGGGUGUGCUUUAAAUAGAAAAUGGUAGAGGUUUUGUUGAAGAUGAUGAUGACAUGGAGGGUGACAUGGCGGUGGGCUUAGGUGGAAGAUUUUGGUGCAUUGAGUGAAUCGUUUAAUGAGGCAAGCUACGUGCAAGCAAAUGUGGUAUGAAGGAUCAAUAUUGUUAGCUGGAUUUCUCGCCUUUCUCGCCGACAAUGUUGUUGACAAUAUUCAACUCACGUAUUUCUAAUUAAGGUAAUGAAUUUAAGUUUUGUGAUUUACCAUAUACUACUACUAAAAAUGCUUGUUAAGCCCAUAAGCCAAAGUAGAUGGAAGUUUUAUAAGGCCUAAUUGUUAUUCCACCUCGUGCAUCUAUUAAUGUUUUGUCCCCUUAUUGUAGUGUAGGCCUUAGUUUCCUUUUAUAUGUUAGUGUUUUUCGUACAAUAUUUACCUUCUUACUGUUGUCCACUUUUAUAGAGCAUUCACAAUUGUGAGUUCAAUGAGAUAGUUGUGAGAUGGCAAGCCUAGUUGUCUUUUAAUGGAUUAAACUCUACAAUUGUGAGAUGCUACCUUGACAUUCAAUGGAUUUGGAGGUUUUUUUUGUUGAAAGGCUAACACAGACCCACUAAAUUCUACUCCUCGACUACUCUUUUUAUUCAUGACGAGACUCGAACCCUCAACUCUUUAGGGAAUACAUACAUUUUUAAAAUCCUUGGUACCGCUAGGCCAAAAGAGUUUAAUGACCAUUGAACUCUUCAAUGGAAAAAAUGAAAGUUUUCUCUUUCUUAAAUAAAUACUAUAAAUUAGCUUGUGUAAUGUUUUUAUUGAGCUUUGUAAAGUUGAAUGCAUUAUAGGAAAUCUUUCACGGAGUUAUAUGAAAUUUAGAAAUAUGAUGUGACAAUCUAUUGAACCCUAUGGAGUUCAAUGCAUUGUGGAUAUCCUUACAUCUUGUAGGAGCUAUUUGUUUUCUUACUUUUGUCCCCUAUAUAGUUUCAUUGCUUGUAUUUGUUUUUCUAAAAUCUAUACAUUCUUACUUUUAUCUAGGCGUGUCGAAAAAACCCGGAACCCGUUCUACCCACCCGACCCGUUCCGAAUUCGGGUAGAAUGGGUCGGGUAGAAUGGGUAAUGGGUAUGAACAUUCGGGUAAUAGGUUAACCCGAUAAUAAUAUAGGUCGGGUUUUAGGUAUGAAUAUUUAUUUUCGGGUAUACCCGAAUACCCGAAUUCGUUUUUUAAAUAAUAUCAAAUAUACAAUGCAGUCACGCACGCACACUUCAAAUAAAACAAAACUCUUCGUUUCCUUCUUAUGAACGACGGCUCGACAGCUGACACAAACUUGCAAAGGGAAUACGACACUGAAGCUGAAGUCCUGAACCGUCAUCACAAUUCUCAGUUUCUCUCUGUCGCACGUAAUGGAAUUAAAAAAAAGUACAUAACAUAUUAUAAUGAUUUGUAUUGUUAUUAUAGAUGUACUUGUUAAUUGUAUGGAGUAUUUUCCAACCCAAUUUUUUAUUAAACCAACCGACAUGUAAAGAAAAUAUCAAUAAGUGUCAUUUAAGAAAUUUUCGGGUAUACCCGAUAAUUACCCGACCCGACCUCAAACCCAAAUACCCGAAACCCGAAAACCCGAAUUACAAUAUAGGUCGAGUAUCGGGUAUUAUUUUCUUAACGAAAUACCCGUUCUACCCGACCCGUUCUACACGAAACCCGAAAAUUUUACCCGUUCGACACCCCUACUUUUAUCUCCUUUUUUACUUUCAACUUUAUAGUUUAUAUAUGCUUUCUUGUACUUGUGGUCUUUUCACUUUCAGUCUUUUANNNNNNNNNNNNNNNNNNNNNNNNNNUUCGCUUUCAUCUUUAAUGUUUCUAUAUGCUUUCCGUACAUUAUUUAUCUUUUUACGUUUGUCCCUUUUUUUACUUUCAACUUUAUUGUUUGUUUCUGUUUUAGUACAAUAUUUACCUUCUUACUUUUUUCCCCUUUUUACUUUCAACUUUAUUGCUCGUAUUUAUUUUCUUCUUACCUUUGUCCUAUUUUUGUUUUCAUUGUUAUUGUUUAUAUUUAUUUUUCAUACAAUAUUUACCCUCUUAACUUCAUCAUUUUUACUUUUAACUUUUCUUACAUUUGUCUUAUUUUUUUCUUUCAACAUUAUUGCCUAUUUUAUUUUUCAUAUAGUAUUUACCUACUUACUUUUCUUCAUUUUUACUUUCAACUUUAUUGCCCGUAUAUGCUUUCUUCUUACCUAUGUCUUAUUUUUUCUUUCAACGUUAUUGCUUANNNNNNNNNNNNNNNNNNNNNNNNNNNNNNNNNNNNNNNNNNNNNCUUUAUUACUUAUGUCAAUUUUUACUCUAAACUUUAUUGCUCGUAUAUGCUUUCUUAAUACCUUUAACGUUUUUUUGUUUUCAACAUUAUUGCUUUUAUUUAUUUUUCAUAUACCAAUUCCUUCUUAAUUUUGCCCUAUUUUUACUUUCAAAUGUAUUUCUUGUACCUUCUUACUUCUGUCUAUUUUUUACUUUUUGGUUUUAUUGUUUGUAACGACUUUUUUUCCUUACUUUUGUCCUCCAGUUACUUUCCGAUUUAUUAACUGUAUUUGUUUUUUGUACAAUAUUUAACUUUCUUACUUUUGUGUGUGUGUGUUUUUUUUACUUUCAACCUUAUUGUGUGUAUCUGUUUUCUUGUUUUUGUCUCAUUUUUUUUCCUUCUCUUCUUAUGUUUGUUAACUUUUCACUUUAAUCUUUAUUGCUUGUAUUGUUUUUCGUAUAUUAUUUACCUUCUUAUUUUGUUUUUUUUACUUUCAACUCUCUUGUUUAUAUUUGGUUUAGUAUAAUUUUUACAUUCUUAUUUUUGUCUCCUUUUGACUUUCAUCUUUGUUGCUUGUAUCUAUUUUUUUUUCUUACCUUUGUCUUGUUUUUGUUUUCAACGUUAUUUUUUAUAUUUAUUUUCAUAAAAUAUUUAAUUUUUUUUUACCUUUGUCUCCUUUUUACUUUCUAACUUUAUUGUUUGUGCUCGUUUUCUUCUUACUUUUUAUCCGUUUUUUACUUUCAACUUUCUUGCUUGUAUUUGUUUGUCAUACAUUAUUUACCUUCUUACUUUUAUCAUUUUUUACUAACAACUUUAUUGUUUGUAUCCACGUUUUCUUCUUAUCUUUGACCCAUUUUUGUUUUCAACGUUAUCGUUGAUAUUUAUUUUUUAUAAAAUAUUUACUUUCUUACUCUUGUCUCUUUUUUACUUUCAUGUUUACUUCUUGUACAUGUUUCUUCUUCCUUUUGUCUUUUUUCUACUUUCAGCUUUAUUGGUUGUUGCUGUUUUUCCUCUUAUUUUGUCCGGUAUUUACUUUCAGCUUUAAUGUUUAUAUUUUACUUUUCGUAUAAUAUUUACUUUCUUAUUUUUUUCUCAUUUUAUCUUAUAACAUUAGGGCCGUGAAAAAGUCUCAAUAUUUUAGGUCAGUUUACGAUUUAGUCCCAAAUUAAAUUUUGUUUACAAAAAAGGACAGAUUACCGGCUAAAACUUUGAAUUAACCCUUCGUGGCCGGUUUCAUAGAUUUAGCCGGUAUCUCGUUUUUUUUCGUUAGUUAAUUCAAAUUUUGGGGCUUUUUCAUUAAUUAAUCAAAAUUUUAGGGCUUUUUAAUUAUUUAUUACCAAUAAACCAAAAUAUUUGGACUUUUCUGAAGAAUAUCUUUAAGCUAAUAUAUAUUAUAUGAUCUAAUUUAAUAUGUACUAUUCCAUAUCUUUUUUCUUAUGCUCUUCUAGGCUCACCGUGUGUUUUUAUCGGUGUCGUCAAACCCAACAACAAAAAUCUCACUCACAAGCCUCGUUAACUCAAUCAAUUUUCCAAAAUUAUCCAUUCACAACUUUAUGAUCAUCUUUCAAUCUCCAAAUAAAGAACGGAGAAAAUCCUUGUUGAUUACGUGGAUGUCCCUAUUACCUAACCAUGACUUAAACUGUGGUUCCAACACUUGGAUGUUCCUAUUACCUAAUCAUGACUUAAACCCAUACACUAAUGGCGUUGUACAUAGUGUUGUUAACAAUAGAAGACGAAUCUCACAUGUUCAACCACUGAUACAUUGGCUCAAGUCUUACUAGACCCUUGUUUCCUUACAACACUGUAGAAGCCCCAACAAAAGAUGAAUCCCACAUGGUUCAUCAUUUAUUGGUUUUUUUAUCAAAAAGUAAAGCAUUUUGGAAGCCCAAAUAGACUAAAACGUAAUAACGACAAUUAUUGUAAUAUCACACCAAUUGUCAUUAUGACUUAAACGUAACAUCACAACAAUUGUCAUUAUUACAUUUUAGUCUAUUUAGGGCUUCCAGAAUGCAUUAGUUUUUGGCAAGACAAAAACCAAUAAAUGAUGAAAUUUUUGAUAAAGAUCGGAACACAAUCUUAUUGAUGGAUCCAAGAGCUCCUUAUCGUCCCAAGCCUUUUUCUCCUCAAUCUUCUUCUAAAAAAUGCACUAUAAUAUGCAAUAUCAGCCCCUCUUUCUCUCCUACAAGCAUAUAGCUCAAUUAGGGUUUCUCUCAGAGUGUUAAGAUGAUAAGGGGGCGGAAAUGAAGGCUUAAAGUCCUUUAAAUAGGACACAAACCCUGAAAAUUAGGGUUUUCACACUCAGCUCCUACUCUUCGAGUUGGGGUCCUCCAACUCGUCGAGUAGACUCUAGAAAUUACGCGACCAUUAACACUAUCUACUUGACAAGUUGAGGCCUCCAACUCGUCAAGUUGAUAAGACAACAAGAAUAUAAAUUAAUUAAAUAUUAUACCGGAGAGUCGGGAUGUUACACCUAUUGUAAGGAAACAAGGGUCAAGUAAGACUUGAGCCAAGGUAUCAGUGGCUAAACCAUGUGGGAUUCAUAUUUUGUUGUUAACAAAACUAUGGGCAAUGCCAUUAGUGUGUGGGUUCGAAAUAAGGUUCGAGUCAUGGUUAGGUAAUAGGAACAUCCGAGUGUUGGAACCGUAGCUCGUAGGUAUACCAAAUUAAUAUUUUAAUAGUUUAUGAUGGAUAGCUUGUUGACAUUUUUUUACAAUUAGAGUUAACAUUCUCCAUGGUUUUCAAUACAUAAUAUCGAGUUGAUUUUUUUAACCUAUGUUGAGUUUCUUAAGCUUAAUGGUUCAUUCUUCAUGGUUUUCCAGCCCUAUUGUAAGGAAACAAGGGUAAUGUAAGACUUGAGCCAAGGUAUCAGUGGUUAAACUAUGUGGGAUUCAUAUUUUGUUGUGAACAACACUAUGGACAAUGCGAAUAGUGUAUGGGUUCGAAAUAGGAUUCAAGUCAUGGUUAGGUAAUAGGAACAUCCAAGUGUUGCAACCACGGUUUAAGUCAUGGUUAGGUAAUAGGGACAUCCACGUAAUCAACAAGGAUUUCUCCGUUCUUUAUUUGGAGAUUGAAAGAUGAUCAUAGAGUUGUGAAUGGAUAAUUUUGGAAAAUCGAUGGAGUUAACGAGGCUUGUGAGUGAGAUUUUUGUUGUUGGGUUUGACGACACCGAUAAAAACACACGGUGAGCCUAGAAGAGCAUAAGAAAGAAGACAUGGAAUAGUACAUAUUAAAUUAGAUCAUAUAAUAUAUAUUAGUUUAAAGGUAAUCUUUAGAAAAGUCUGAAUAUUUUGGUUUAUUGGUAAUAAAUAAUGAAAAAAACCUAAAAUUUUGAUUAAUUAAUUAAAAAGCCCCAAAAUUUGGAUUAAUUAACAAAAAAAGACGAGAUACCAGCUAAAUCUGUGAAACCGGCCACGAAGGGUUAUUUCGAAGUUUUAGCCGGUAAUCUGUCCUUUCUUGUAAACAAAAUUUAAUUUGGGACUAAAUCGUAAACUGGCCUAAAAUAUUGAGAUUUUUUUGCAGAUUUCCCUCUAACAUUAUUGCUCUUAUUACUUUCUUCUUACUUUUGUCCUAUAUUUGCUUUCAACGUCAUUUCUUAUUUCUUNNNNNNNNNNNNNNNNNNNNNNNNNNNNNNNNNNNNNNNNNNNNNNNNNNNNNNNNNNNNNNNNNNNNNNNNNNNNNNNNNNNNNNNNNNNNNNNNNNNNNNNNNNNNNNNNNNNNNNNNNNNNNNNNNNNNNNNNNNNNNNNNNNNNNNNNNNNNNNNNNNNNNNNNNNNNNNNNNNNNNNNNNNNNNNNNNNNNNNNNNNNNNNNNNNNNNNNNNNNNNNNNNNNNNNNNNNNNNNNNNNNNNNNNNNNNNNNNNNNNNNNNNNNNNNNNNNNNNNNNNNNNNNNNNNNNNNNNNNNNNNNNNNNNNNNNNNNNNNNNNNNNNNNNNNNNNNAUAUACUAGCCGUCUACCCGCGCAAAGCGGCGGGCGGCGAAUAAUUUGAUCUCUUUAGAGUUAAAACCAUUUUGCGUUCACUUCGAGAAAUGAAUAUUAAAUGACAUCUAUUUUUCAAGAGCAUUACCAUACCAUAUUAAGGGGGUGUUUGGCUAAGCUUUUUUAAAACAACUUAUUAGGUUCCACAUCACUAUAAGUUAAAAAAGUGUUUGGAUUAAAAUAACUUAUUCCGGUGGGGAACCUCUAAUACGUCAUUUUUUCAUAAGUUACCCUACACUUACUUAUUAACUUAUAAGCUAAUAAACUAAUAAGCAAUAAGUUUUUUUGCCAAACACCCCCUAAAUGGUUAUUACUUCCAUUUAUACAUACCCAAACCACUUGUAUUGUUUAUCGUCAUCUUUGUUUUUUUCGUUUUCCUUAAUUCCUUUAUUAAUUUAAUGUCCUACUAAGUAAAAUGCUAAAAUAUAUAAAUAAUAAUUUAUAAAAAUAAACCUUUAGAAUAUCAGGUGUUGUGAUUCAAAAGUCGAUAAAUAGGCCUUUGAGAAGGCUAAAAUACUCAGGUGUCAACUUGUUCAUUGUGAUUUUAAACCAAGUUUGGUCACAAAUUAAAACAUUUUCAACGAUGGUAUGUAAUUCAAGGAUUCAUAUUGAUUUAGGUUCUCGAAACCUUAAAAUAUUGAACAAAAUCUAUAUAGAACCUUAUAAUAAGGACAAUAAUCACCGUAAUCAGGAAGUCCAUGUGAUGAAACUUGAUAUUAUAAGGACCAAUGAUGAAAAAGGUUUCAUUUUUAGACUAAACAAGAUGAAAAAUAUACAAACUACCUUAAUCAUGUCAAAUCUUGUGUUUAACCGUUCUUUAUUGCAAAAGUAAGAUGUCAAAAUAUACAAACUAAUGAUAAUACAAUGCUCUAACUGACCCUCUUGGUUGAGUUCUUUGAACCUAAACCAACACAUUAAAGAAACAUAGUGAAAACCUUUUAGGAACAAACCUGAUAUAAUAAAGUCUUCACCCAAUAUAUUUAUAAGAUAAAAAUACAAAAAGUUAAAAAUGAUGAAAUCAAUUACAAGUAAGGAUUAAAAUAAAAACUUGUUAAGAAAGAGCCAUCUGCAGAAGGAAUAUUUGAAUCAACAUGUAUUUUCUGAUGGUUUCAAAUUUUGAAAUAUCUGAAAUUCAGGGAAGGAGAUAGAAUUUGUUGAGAAAUAUAAGGAUUCAAAACACAAGUUAAAAUUUAAUAUUAUUUUAUGGAUGACUAGUUGUAUUAUUAGCUUAAUGAUUUGAACGUCUUAAAAAAAUAAUAUUAUUAUAUUCAAUCUAUUUUUAGAAAUAGUGGGAUUUCUUUUAUUGUUUGUAUCUGUUUUCUUUUUACUUUUGUCCCUUUUUACUUUCAACUUAUUACUCGUAUCUAAUAUUUGUAUAUUAUUUUUCUUCAUACUUUUUCCUCCCCACACAUGUUACCUUCUUAUUAAUUGGUUUCCCGUUUCCGUAUAUUUGAUUUUUUUUUGAAUGGGAAAUUCAAUAAUAUACUAAACUACUCCUAAAUUAUUCCACCUAUGUCAACAGUGGGACUUGAACCCUCGACCUCAAGAACGAAGGACAAUACCGAAUAUCGCUAGGCUAGAAGCCCUUUGGUCUUUCCAUAUGUUUGAUACUUGAUGAUUUUCUUUGUGUGUUCAUCACAUGUGUUAAUUAUUGUAUUUCUAAAUACUUUAGUUAGAUGUUAACACAACUAUAAACUCUAUUUCAAUGAAGUAAAUAUUUUAGAGGGUAGUACAAAUAUAAAUAGAAAAUUUUAAAACGACUUGCUGUAUUUUUGUCGUAAAUGCGAAAUUCAUUGCGUUAUCUACACGCUUACGUAGUCGCUUAAAAUUAGACAUAUCUAUUUUUAGUUGAUGUUUACGUGGAGCACAUGAUUAGUGUGCAUUCAAGUUUGAUAACGCCAUCAAAAGUCUAAUUCUUCAUUUUCUUUGCCAGCUGUCUCACCGACUAGGUUGCUCAAGAACAUCAUAAUCACGUAAGUAGGUGAUUCUAUCUUCCUCGUACUAUAUGUUGUUUGAUAUUGAAGUUAAUCUAGAGAAAUAAGUAAUUAUUGGUUAACUUAUGAUUAAAAAAAAUGCUCAAUAUUGAUAAUGAACUAGCUUUUAAGAAUAUGUAGACAAGUUAAGGCCAUAAUGUCUUACUAGAAAGAUUUUAUAACAAAAUUAUAUUUGCCAUGCAUGUUAUCUAGUUUUGUGUAAUUGUUAGCUUAUGACAUUAAAUUCAAUUAUUGCCAUUUGUGUUCUUUGAUUAGUUUCUAAAGAUGCACAUAAUGGAGGUUUACAUAUUUUUAUAAUAAAUUUUGUUUUCGGUCUAGAUUUUAUUCCUUUGUUUUCCACGUAGGCUAGAUGAGCUAUAAGGACUCGCACAUUCACUCAUUUCUAUCUAUAGAAGUCGCAUUUAUUCAUGUUUCGCUUCUACUCGCUAUCUAAUCUUCCAUCCGUAUAAUUAUAAGUAUUAAAUGUUUGUUUAUAAUGUUUCAUAUUUUUCUCAAUUUAUGCAAAAAAAAAAAGGUUUUUACAAAUGAAAUAUGCAAUAACAUUUCAUAAUAUGGAAGUGGUCAAAUGGUUUAUUAAUGCAACAAUUUAUUUUUUCAAAUGUUUCACAUUUUUACCAAUUUAUGCAAUAAUGUUUCACAUUUUUAUCAGUUUAGACAACUAACACUAAUAUGCAACCAUGUUUUAAAUGGUUCAACGAGAUGAGGCAUCAACCACCACUUACUAGAAUGAGUGAUUUCAAGAAAUCAUCUAUCCCUUGCCUUCGGAACUUUCUUUUUGGCAUCUUUCUUCGUUGCUUGACAGGAAGAACUGUUGGUUUGGAUAAAGUGAAACUGGAGGUGUAUGCUAUGGUCGCAGGUUUAUAUUACAAUUUACAGGUGGAUUAUGCAACCCAGUUAUGGCAAGAGUUUGGAAAAAACAUUGCUAACACAAGUGUGGUUAAUGGAGUUUCAUGUGCUCGUUACUGGAGCCUGAUAUUGAAGUAUGUUUACGAAAAGGAAGGGAUCUUGGUACCUGUUGAUGAUCCUAAAACAGAGUUCGGAAUAUAUCAACAUCCUAAGGUUGUGGAGGAUGAUUCGGAAAAUUUUCCCAAUGUUGCGAGGAUCCAUGUAUGCUUCGCAAAGUAGAUCUUGUUGAUCCAGUUCUAAUUGCAUAUCUUCAAACCAUCAAUCUUUCAAUUGCGAAUGGAGGUUUAGAAACAACAUUGAUAACACAAGUGUGGUAAAUGGAGUUUCAUCUGCUCGUUACUGGAGCCUGAUAUUGAAGUAUGUUUACGAAAAGGAAGGGAUCUUGGUACCUGUUGAUGAUCCUAAAGCAGAGUUCGGAAUAUAUCAACAUCCUAAGGUUGUGGAGGAUGAUUUAGAAAUUUUUCCCAAUGUUGCGAGGAUCCCUGAUGCAAUGCUUUGCAAAGUAGAUCCUGUUGAUCCGGUUCUAAUUGCAUAUCUUCAAACCAUCAAUCCUUCAAUUAAGACUGGAGUGUUAUUGGCGAAGGGUGUUGCUCGUCCUUCCAAAUAGAAAAAAGAAUUCAAAGAAAGGAACUCAAGCCAGUCCAUCGAAGCUUGCUCUUGUGUCUACUCCAACGAAAGUUACUAAGGCUAGUAUUUCGAAGCCUGUUUCGGUUCCUAUUCAACAGGAAGUCACUAAGCCUUCUUACGAAGAAACUUCUCAACCAGCGAAGGAGGUCAUGCCUUUGAAAUCUGUGGUUCUUAAAAGGUUGAAGAAAAAGGCUCACAGGCCUCGUCAUUCACCAUAAAGGCCUGUUAUCCAAGAAGUUUAUGAGAAAUCACCAUCUUCUACCAAGAGUAUUUCUCUUCUUCCAAGAGGAUUAUAUGUUGGAUUAGUGUCUAAGUCCAUAACUAUUUUGGUAUGUACUUGACCCGAUGGUGCAUGGUCCUUUUGGGUUGCCUUCACCAAAGCAACUUGAUAGGAUGAAUUAUGGAGAGAAAGGAUUAAAUAUGAUUUAUUAAUAUAUUAUGGGAAUAAUAUAUUAAAGGAGAAAUCAUAUUGUUUAAUUAAUAUUAGUCAAGAAUUAAUAAGAAUUAAGUUUGUGACUAAAAGAGAUUAAUUAAACUUAAGGUACUGGAAUUGUAAUUAUAAGAUAAUUGCAAUUGGGCUAUGGAUUGCCUUAUAUUAUAAGGUUGGACGAAUUCUACGGGGAAACCCAUUGGAAAUCGUCCAAGGCCUUUAAGGAAGGAGCCCAUGGGUUGCUUAGGGCUUAAGCAUCCAAAUUAGGGUUUCCUUGUUAGAUAACCCUAAUAGCCUCACUAUAUAUAGAGCCCUUAUGCCCCAAAAACGUGGACAAGCUUCCUUCUAGGGUUUCCGCACGUUUUGGGCAGCCUCCUUCUCUUCUCUUCUUCAUCCUCUUGCUUAUGGUGUUUGUGAACCAUUAGAGGAGUGACAUUUGUGACUAUAAGCUUUCUAAAGUCAUUACAAGGAGGAUUUGAGAUUGUUAUUGCUACAUAACAAUCAAGGUAUGAUCUAAACUCUAAUUAUAUGUUAUAUUGAUUAUAAUAUGCUAGAUCUAGGGUUUAUAGUCUUGGAUAAAUUGCAUGUACAAUAGAGAAACCUAGAUCCAAGCAUUAGGGUUUGUAUGAGCACAUAGGAUGUUCCAAAGUAUAAAACCCAUCAUUAUAAAGCCUCAAAUCACUUGCAAGGGUGUUACCAUACGCGAGAUUCCGGCUCUAGUUUCUCCUGCCUCUAAGAAACAAAGAACUCAUGAAAUGGUGAAGAAGCUUAAGAAGAAGUAGAAGAAAAUCACAACUCCAUUGGAUGAGGUACUUAUUGAAGAUGAUGUUGAUGAUAGUGGUAAGUCUCAAUCUCCACUUCGACAUGCUGAUAUGGGUUUUUCGUCACCACAGAUGGACUUUCCAGUCAAGUCGACUUUCGAGGCGUCUGGUAGUCUUGAUGGCAAUGUAGAAACAUUUAUUAUGGACACAACCAUCAAUCUUGAUGAUUAUUCACAAUUAUCCAUCCCUGAGCAGACUUUGGUCAUACCACCCGAAGUUUUGCAAGCCAAGUCCAAUAUGGAGGAGGUGCGAACUUCAGGCAUCACUGCGGACAUAUCUGAUAUGGAUGCAAAUGUCACUAAGGGUGAUGGGGUGUCGAGUUCUCAAGCCCAAGGUACUUCUGAUUCAAUCAUAGUAUCAUUUACCUUCGAAACCACUUAUAUUGACACGAGUACUACAUUACCACUAUUUCAUUCAUCUAUUUCUACUUCUUUACCUCAAUCCACCAUUUCACCUACCUUUCAAAACAUUAUCAAUCAACCAAUCACAUCCUUAUUUCCUUCGCAAACCACUGAAGGUCCAACAUCUAUUCCUGAUAAUACAAUAGAGGAUGAUGAUGUGUGUAUUUCUUUCGCUGAUCUUCAGUUUGAUCCAGAAGAUGAGGAUAUACCAGAUCAUAUGUUAAUGUCUGGUAAGCAAUUCAAUAUCCUCAAUUGAAAACUCAAUUCGUUACUCCAGUUUCAGGCUGCUGUUGGAAGUCAACACAAUGUCACUGGGAUCAAGGUUGAUGUGAUGCUCAAGGCUCAAGAGCUUCGACUGAAAGCAGUAAUGGGCCAGAUGGAAAAGAAUAAUGAACUUCGAGUGAAGUUUCAAUCUGACUCAUUUAAUCAUGAGGUAAAGGUUUUAAGAGCCGUUGCAAACGAACGUCAUCUUUUGUUUGUUUAAGUUGUCAAGAGGGUUCAAGAGGAUGUAAACUUGAAGAUCGAAGAACUUCAACAAGAAAUAACGUAGGAGGUUGCGAAGGUUGAUCAAAACUAUUCGAACCUUCAUACUAAGGUUGAUAUAGUUGCUGGUGCAGUCACGAAGCUCGUUGAGUUUCACACUUCUCUUAACUCUAAGGAGUUUUUACAUCGCCAAGGUGUCUUGGUAGAAGUGAAUGAUUUCAAAGCUUGCUAUUCCUCCUACUUCAACAGUUUCUCAAGAGUCCAUCUCACAACUGUUCUCUUCGUUGGAGUCUCGACUAAAAGUUGAUCUUGGUCCUUUAAUGAAUUUGGUGAAUUUGAUGCCCACUGCUGCCCCACCUGUUUCCACAGGGGUGCAAGGGGGAGAGAAGGGUGUGGGUGCAUCAUAGAACUCUGAACAAGGCGAAGUUAUUGGAAAAGUGUCAAGCACACAAAUUCCCAAUACAUUUCCACUAUCUACAAUAACAACUUCUACAACCAUGACUUUGAAACCUUUAACUAAAGGUAUUAUCAUUGGAUCAUCUACUGGAGGGUCAAGUUCGAAACCUCCUCCAUCAGCAGAAUAAUUGAAGCGAAGAGGAAAGGGUAUUCUGAUAGAACCAACUGUUGAAGAGAAAAAGUUGGCAUUAGAGCAGGAAAUGGAAAAAAAAAUUCAGAGCAUACUUCGAAAAAGACAGAGUGAUCCUUCUGGUAUUAAUAAGGGUGAUCCAUCCAAACACUACAACUACGAAUAGACCUGGAAAAAUCUAGCACGGCACGACAACCCGACACGAACCCGAAACGAAGUUAGCGGGUAGGGUCAGAGAUUUAACCUGUUUAUAUACACGGGUUGACACGACACGUCACGAUAAUUAAACGGGUAGGGUUAGUGUCAAGACUUUCAACUCGAAGAUGACUCGAUAAUGACCCGUUUAUAUAUGUGUAUAUAUAUAUAAAUCAUAUUUUUAUAAAUAUUUUCAAUAUUAUACAUUUGUAGUUGCCCAAAUUCAAGAAUUAAAAGUAAAACUCAAACUUUCAAAGUGACUUAAUUUUACUCCUUCUCACUACCUAUCUCAUUUGCUUCCUAACUCUUAAUUCUUUCCAUUUUGCUUUCUAAACUUACUACUAUCUUCGUCCCAUAUUUAUUGUCUAAUUUUGAUUGUUGAAGUCUUUAUUCUUCAAAUUUGACCUUAAAUAAUUUUGUUUUUGAUAUAUAUAACAUUUAAUGCGAAAUAUAUGAAUGGAUUAUGUUUUAAAUGUCUUUUCAUUGUUAUAAAAUUUAUCAAGUAAUUUAUAACACAAAUAAAACUAUUUAAGGUCAAAGUAAAAACUUCAAAAGUCAAAAAUGGACAAUAAAUAUGAGACGGAGGGAGUAUAAUUUUUUUUUUCGGUUCCACCUCCCAAGUCCAACAUUUCACUUUUUCAUUUAUUUUUUCCUCAAUGACUCUUACUUUUCAACCUAUAAAAUUUUUCAACCCGACAUGACACAACCCGAAACUCGACACGAAAUCGACACGAAAAUAAACGGGUUAACACGACACGACACGAUAAUUAAACGGGUCGGGUUAGGGUCAAGCACUCUCAACCCUUUUAAUGUCUUGACACGGCACGAACCCGACACGACACGACACGUUUGCUAGGUUGAUAGUUAGUUUUGUUUACUUCUUUUUAUAGUUUAUUUUAGCAUAUUUCAUUCAUAAUUUAGAUAAUUUCCAUGCAUAUUUUCCCUUUUUUGUUAUUUUAUGACUAUUUCGGAUACUUUCGAAUCUUGUGAGCAUAAUUGCAGGUUUUCGGGUCUAGCGGAGCGGGAGUGUUCGGGACGUAUGGGAAGCGAUGAGAUUUGGUAGAAAAAAAUGAUGUUAGGCUUGGUGAUUGUGGAGAUGAUGCAUGGAGCGAGCUUGAUGGUUAUUUGAAGGCUUGGAGAGAAAUAAACUUUAAAUUUGCAAAACGCGGGAGUUUAUUCGAGCGUGCGUAGAUUAUUAACCGGGCGAGUUUGGAGGAUUUGGAGAGGCCAAAUUGGGCUUAAAAUGAAUAAAAACUUGAAGAAAAUGGGCUAGGAGGUGAUUGGAUUCGAUCUGGGCUAGUGGGACAUGCUUUGGAGGCCCAAAAUCUCAAAGAAGCCCAUGUCAGGCACCACCCGCGCAACCCACCCGCGCAGCAGCACGCGGGUCGCGCAAGGCUCUGCAGGGGUAAUUUCGGAAAUCCAUUUGGAAGGCUAUUUGAGGAAGGUUGGUGCCCAUCUUUUGGGGACUCUUGGACAUCCGAUUUUUGAAGAUUUUCUCUGGAGUUUUGAAGACUUUUGAAGGCCAAGAACACUUGAAGAACAUCAUAUUUUUACCUCUUGAUUCUUGCUUAAUGUUUGGUACAAUUUUCUCUAACUUUGUUUCUUUGGGUUUAGCCAUGCUUGGCUAAACUAAUCUUGGUUGACUUUUGGUUAAUCCUUUGAACUUUUGUUGAAUGUUGAAGAAUCCAUGAACAUGUUCUUAAAUCUUUAUGGGAAUGUUUUGUGUUUUAACAUCUUAUCACUACUUGUAUGUUUUAGUUCAUGAGUUUAAAUGUGUUUGUGGUGAUUAGUUGGCUAAUUUCUUGAUUAAGUAAAGGAUCCUCAAAUUAGCAAGAAACAAAUGAUUUUUGUGUUGUUUUUGCUUCACACAAUCAUAAAAACAUUUCAUCCAACAUGGUGGUGAAAGCAUUUGACCCCUCUUGGAUUUGGUGACUUUUUGGUUCUUAAUGCUAGUUGACUUUCACUAAUUACAUGCUAUUUGGAAUUAGUGACUUUGACUAAGGAAAUUGUUAUGAGCUUCUCUAGCCAUUUCAACAAUUAAGAAAAGUCUAGGUAAUCUCAAGCUCCUUGGAUUACUAUAGCCAAAUUAAGGAUUUAAAUCAAAGUAUUGCACCAUUGGAUUCUAAUGAUAUGUUCAUCAAAAGUCAAAGUGAGGAAACUUUAAGUCAACCAUCUCUCCCUUAUUGAUUUUACAUCAAACUCUUAUUUUUGUUGCAUUUGUCUAUUUAAAUCAUAGUUAAUUCUAGUUUGUUUCAAGUAUUUCAAAACACCAAAACCUCCCAUUUUAUUUUUAUUGUCAUUUUACAAGUAUUUUUACAAAGAGAUUUUUCAUAGAGUUAUAAAUUGAACCAAUCUCCGUGGAUUCGAUCCAUUUACCACUAUACACUAUUUUAGUGUGUAAUAUUUAGGGUUAUUAUUUGUGUUGGCCUCGACAACCACCAUAGGUCUAACUACGAAACGAUUGAUGCUUGUGUUUUCAGUGGAGUUAUGCAUGAGUUUCCCAAAGUUCCCAAAAAGAGCUUUUAUAUCGAAACCCAAAUUUCAAUCAGCUGGACUUCCUAUCAACGAAAUGAUGUUCAUUUCUUCGCAGUAUCAGAUUGUUGACAAAUUGAAGACAAAGAUGAAUUCAAGAGAUUGAAGCUUCGAUUUCAUGUUGUUCUUGGAAAAAGACAAAAAGAGAUUUGGUGAUUGGUCAAAGUUGUCAGAGUGCUAAACAUUUUCAAGGAUGUUUUGUUCGAAGAAGUUUUGUAGAAUUUUCGAUAUCAUGCAGUUUGAGCUAACAAUGGUGCAUUCGUCUUCUCAGUAGCUGGCUUCCCAUUGAUGAAUCUAAAUGAUAUCAUAAGUGUAGCAAAGAUUUUAAAAUGAGUAGAUACAUCGAAGCUACAAUUGACUAACAAAGAAGAUUUUCUUCUUGGAUAUGCUCACAUAAAGUUGUUUAUAGACAAUUACUAUGAUUGUCUUGCAAUGACUCAUGUGGAGCUUGCACUAACAUUAGAAAAACAAGUCACUGUUCCACGGUCUUUAUUAAAAGGUGCGAAGAACUUGAAGAAUUACAAUGAUGGUGAAAUUUGUGUGAAGCCUUUAGGAAUUCUUUUUGUUGGGAAAAAUAAAAACAACAAAAUCACCUGGUUUUUGUUGAGAUUGUUGAUGAUGUCUUGGGCGAGCAUCCAGGGUUCAUCGGGGUUGUGUCCUGGAGUUGUUCAACGAGCGGUAUCCGAUUGAUUUAGUUCCUAUUCCGUUAUGUAAGAACAAGGUUAUAGUGAGGAUGGAUUAGCUAAGCCCCAAUGAGGCAGUGAUUGAUUGUGAGCUUCAGAUGGUACGUGUUCGGACCCCAAGUGGGGGAUAGUUGGUGGUCCAGGGAGAGAGUGUUUAUUGAUGACAUCCUGGUCUAUUCCAAGACCCAGGAGCUGCAUGAGGAGCAUUUGAGGGAGGUAUUGGAGACUCUGAGGAUGGAUAGACUGUACGCGAAGUUCUUCAAGUGUGAAUUCUGGUUGCGUGAGAUGCAAUUUCUGUGACACCUUGUCAACCAAAACGGUAUCCUGUUCAAUCCGACCAAGGUCGAGGCGGUGAUGCGAUGGGAGGUUUCGAGGUCUCCAUCUUGGAUUCGGUGUUUCCUUGGUUUGGCAUGUUAUUAUCGGAGAUUUAUUCAAGAUUUCUCCAAGAUAACAGUUCAUCUGACUCAGUUGACGAAGAAGACCAUCACUUUUCACUAGGGGCCUGAGCAGUAGGCAACUUUUGAGACCCUCAUGCAGAAAUUGUGUGAGGCGCCGAUUUUGACCAUACCUGAGGGUGUUGAGGAUUUUGUGGUUUAUUGUGAUGCAUCGAUCACGAGUUUGAGUGCAGUUCUGAUGCAGAUGGGUCGCAUUAUUGCUUAUGCUUCGAGGUAGCUGAAGCCUCAUGUGGCGAACUAUCCUAUGCAUUAUUUGGAGCUGGGUGUUGUGGUGGUUGCCCUCAAGAUUUGGCGACAUUACCUUUAUUGGGUCCGUUGUACUAUCUACACGAAUCACAAGAGCCUGAGGUAUUUGAUGGAUCAACCGAAUUUGAACAUGAGACAACUUAAGUGGUUAGAUGUGGUGAAGGAUUAUGAUUGUGAGAUCCUUUACCAUCCAGGGAAGGUCGAUGUGGUUGUCGAUGCUCUCAGACGCAAGGCGGCCGCGACUCCAAUCAUUGAUAUGUGUUUAAGGAUGUCAAUGAUUACUCCACUCUUGGAUCAGAUUCGAGAGGCUAAGGUUGAGACUAUGAAGGAAGAGCAGCGAAAGAGUGAGUGCAUUGUGAGUCAAGUGGCUUCCUUUGAUUAUGAUAGCCGAGUGUUAUUGAAUCCCCAUCGGAGGGUGUGGGUUCCUAAUCGGGGUGGUGCACAUCAGGUUCUGAUGGAGGAUGCACACAAGUCGAGGUUCUUUAUCCAUCCCGAAGCAACAAAGAUGUAUAGAGAUCUCCGUCCCGAUCAUUGGUUGCCAUGUAUGAAGCGGGAUGUAGCCUUGUAUGUAGAGAGGUGCUUGACUUGCAGGAAAGUCAUCGACGAGCAUCAGCGACCUCACGGCAAGAUGCAGUCGUUGGACAUUCCCAUUUGGAAAUGGGCAGAGAUCACCAUGAAUUUCAUCACGAAGUUUCCACGGACAACGCGCAGAGUGGAUUCGAUAUGGGUCAUUAUGGAUCGAUUAACCAAGAGUGUGCAUUUCAUUCUGAUUAAGGAGACUAUCUUUGCUGAGAAGUUAUCUAACGUUUACAUCAAGGAGGUUGUGGCACAUCGGGUUUUGGAAGAGUUUUCACGAGGACUUGGGUGCUCGUCUACAUUUCAGCACGACUUUCCACCCGCAGACUAACAAACAGACUAAGCAGACUAUUCAGACCUUGGAGGAUAUGCUCCGGGUAUGCGUAUUGGAUUUCGUUGGGAUUUGGGAGACGUAUCUCCCUUUGGCAGAGUUUUCGUAUAACAACAGUUAUCACGCCAACAUCGAUUGACCUCCUUUUGCAAUGCUCUAUGGGAGGAUGUGCAGGACCCUGAUAUGUUGGGGUGAGAUAGGUUAGCGAGUCAUGGGGAGUACUUAAGUAGUACUCAAGACCAUUGAGUUGAUUCAGCAGAUUCAAAAUAGACUUCAGACAACACAGAGUUGCUAGAAAAGCUAUGCUGACAAGCGCUGAUCAGAUCUAGAGUUCUAGAUUGGGGAUAUGGACCUCCUAAAGGUGUUACCUUGGAAAUGUGUUAUCCGAUUCAGGAAUAAGGGCAAGUUGGGCCCCAGGUACAUCGGUCCUUUCAGGGUUUGGACCCGGGUGGGCCAAGUUGCUUAUCACUUGGAUCUUCCCGAUGAGCUUUGUCUAAUCCAUAGCACGUUUCAUGUCUCUUAGCUAUGAAAAUGUUUGGUUGAUGAUUCCACGGUGGUUCCAUUGAAGGAUAUUUAGGUGGAUGAUAGCCGAAAUUAUAUUGAGACACCGAUUUUCAUCCUUGACAACCUUAAGGAACAAGGUUGUGGAGUUGGUGAAGGUGUAGUGGCAACACCUGAAGGGUCCCGAAUGGACGUGUGAGCCUGAGGAUGAGAUGAGGGAGCAUCACCCAUAGUUAUUUACAGUAGCGGACUUCAAGGACCAAAUCUGAUUCAAGUGGGGGAGAGUUGUAAAACCCGAUUUAAGGUAGUUUCAUUUUUUUACCCUUUGUAUGUAAAUGUUUAGCAUAUUUGGUCCCUAGGGGCAGCUUUGCCUUUUCCAGAAAAAUUGGAGUACGAUGGGUGUAAUCCUCGUAUGUGGGGGGGUACACAUAUAGGGGACAAGCCCUAAAUUUUAGGGUUUGGACCAUAUUUAAACAACUUAAUGAACCUUGACCCUCUUAUUUCUCAGCCUUCGUAGCCCUUUGAGUGCCAUUUCGAAACCCUAUCCGCUCUUGAAGGGAUUUGACCUUCUUGUAUGUGUUUUAGUGUAUGUUGGUGAUAGUUAAAAAAGAAGAGCUUGGGGGAAGGAGCUUUGAUCAAAGGAGAACUUGUAGAUCCAGAUUUCUCACAUCAUUUCCAGCUUCAUUGAGGUAUAAAGUUUGGAACUUGCUUCUUGUAUGCUUAGAUCUAAUCUGUAUGAAGUUUUGGUCCCUUUUUGGUCCUAUGAUGAGAUCUAGUGGUUAUCUUCCACUCCAGUAGUUAGGAGUUGCUCUUCUUAAUGUUUCUGAGAUUCUUAAUCCAUAAAGUUAGCAUCUUGAUGGUUGUGGAUAAACCAUGCAUGUAUUUAGGUCCUUUUGGUGAAAGUAGAAUGUUAAAAGUAAGAUUUGGGUCCUUUUGAGCUAUGCAAAGGCUCCAAGUUCAUGACUUUAUAGAUUAAGAUGUUUCAUAGGACUAGGAUUUGAAGUUUGGGCGUUUGGUUUCAAGUAUUAAACACUUAAUGGGAACAUAUGUUGGGCAUACAUAAGCGUACGUUACGCGUACACUGCCGAGUCCUCGAUCAUGCACGCUUCGUAGAACACUGGGUGUACCUAGGUCGUACGUAGUGCGUACUGGCGGUUGAUGGAGUACACAGGGCAUAAGUCUGAGUACGUCGGGCGUACUCAGCUGUUGUUGACUUUUGUUGACUUUGCGGUUUGGGCUAUAUUUGGACUAGUGGAGUUUUAGGCCUUGUUGGGCCAUUAGCCUUUUUUACUUUGGACCAUUGCUAGGAUUUGGGCCCAUAUUGGGUUUUUUGGUAUCGUUUUGGGAUUUGGGCCGUUUGGGCUUUCGGUGCUAUUGAAUUGGACCUCAGAUUUUGGGCCAAGUAAGGAAGGGGUAAGAUGGUCUUUUACCCUGAGUGUUGGACACUUGGACUAGGAUUCCAGUUGUGGGUAGUGGAGUAAUUAUUAAUUGGGUAUUAUUUGAUGAUGUUUAGUGCGGAGAUUUCCUGGAUCAGCAGUCUGAGUUUUUAUCUGAUAUUCAGCAGUUUGAGGUGAGUUUCCUCACUGUGCUUGGCGGAUCGAAGGUACCAUUGUUGUCCCAUUUGGGCCGUUUGGGCUUUUGGUGCUAUUGAAUUGGGCCAAGUAAGGAAGGGGUAAGAUGGUCUUUUACCCUGAGUGUUGGACACUUGGACUAGGAUUCUAGUUGUGGGUAGUGGACUAAUUAUUAAUUAGGUAUUAUUUGAUGAUGUUUAGUGCGGAUAUUUCCCGGAUCAGCAGUCUGAGUUUUUAUCUGAUAUUCAGCUGUUUGAGGUGAGUUUCCUCACUAUGCUUGGCGGGUCGAAGGUACCAAUGUUGUCCCAUUUGGGCCUUUUAGGCUUUUGGUGCUAUUGAAUUGGGCCUCGGAUUUUGGGCCAGACAAGGAAGGGGGUAAGAUGGUCUUUUACCCUGAGUGUUGGACACUUGGACUAGGAUUCCAGUUGUAGGUAGUGGACUAAUUAUUAAUUGGGUAUUAUUUGAUGAUGUUUAGUGCAGAGAUUUCCCGGAUCAGCAGUCCGAAUUUUUAUCUGAUAUUCAACAAUUUGAGGUGAGUUUCCUCACUGUGCUUGGCGGGUUGAAGGUACCAAUGUUGUCCCAUUUGGGCUUUUGGUGCUAUUGAAUUGGGCCUCGAAUUUUGGGUCAAGUAAGGAAGGGGUAAGAUGGUCUUUUACCCUGAGUGUUGGACACUUGGACUAGGAUUCCAGUUGUGGGUAGUUGACUAAUUAUUAAUUGGGUAUUACUUGAUGAUGUUUAGUAUCUGUAUGAAUGUCAGGUGGGCCCGAUGCUAGGCGGGGCCUGAUAAAUGUGAUGAGGCGGGGCCCAUCUCAUAUUAUUGAAAUAUCCGUUCCAAGCGGGGUUCAAUGUCGGGCGGGGCCUGAUGGUUUUUCGGCAUGACCCAUUGUAUGUUUGAUAUGUAUGGUAUGAGGUAUCUUGGGGAACUCACUAAGCUUCGUGCUUACGAUUUUCAGUUUAUGUUUCAGGUACUUCCGAAUUGAAGCGAAAGAGCUUGGGAUGAUCGCAUCGCAUAUACCAUAUUGUUCCGC